rnacentral:rRNA from 1 species
UGUUGUUAGAGAAGAACAAGGAUGAGAGUAACUGUUCAUCCCUUGACGGUAUCUAACCAGAAAGCCACGGCUAACUACGUGCCAGCAGCCGCGGUAAUACGUAGGUGGCAAGCGUUGUCCGGAUUUAUUGGGCGUAAAGCGAGCGCAGGCGGUUUCUUAAGUCUGAUGUGAAAGCCCCCGGCUCAACCGGGGAGGGUCAUUGGAAACUGGGAGACUUGAGUGCAGAAGAGGAGAGUGGAAUUCCAUGUGUAGCGGUGAAAUGCGUAGAUAUAUGGAGGAACACCAGUGGCGAAGGCGGCUCUCUGGUCUGUAACUGACGCUUGAGGCUCGAAAGCGUGGGGAGCAAACAGGAUUAGAUACCCUGGUAGUCCACGCCGUAAACGAUGAGUGCUAAGUGUUGGAGGGUUUCCGCCCUUCAGUGCUGCAGCUAACGCAUUAAGCACUCCGCCUGGGGAGUACGACCGCAAGGUUGAAACUCAAAGGAA